CAAUAGCGUAUAUUAAAGUUGUUGCAGUUAAAAAGCUCGUAGUUGGAUUUCUGGUGGGAGCGAUCGGUCUGGCGCUUAGCGCGAGUACUUGCAUCGUCUCCGGCCAUCCUUGGGGAGAGUCUGUCUGGCAUUAGGUUGUCGGGCAGAGGAUCCUCAUCGUUUACUGUGAAAAAAUUAGAGUGUUCAAAGCAGGCUUAUGCCGUUGAAUAUAUUAGCAUGGAAUAAUAAGAUAGGACUUUGGUACUAUUUUGUUGGUUUGCGCACCAAAGUAAUGAUUAAUAGGGACAGUUGGGGGUAUUCGUAUUCCGCUGUCAGAGGUGAAAUUCUUGGAUUUACGGAAGACGAACUACUGCGAAAGCAUUUACCAAGGAUGUUUUCAUUAA
rnacentral:rRNA from 1 species